AUGUACCAAUCUUUUGCCCAGUCGGUCCCUGAAAGAUUUCUCUGCGACACUGGAGAAGAAAAACAGAACCAGAGGAGAGACAGUGCUGCGAAAGGUGUCACCUCACAAAUAUCCUUAUUGGAGUCUGGUCCUGGGACUGUGAAACCAUCAGAGACUUUGGAACUCACCUGUAAAGUGACCGGUGCCUCCCUCACUGACAGCUCUAACAUGUAUGGUGUGGGCUGGAUCUGCCAACCUGAAGGGAAAGGACUGGUGUACUUGGGAGUUAUAGAUUAUGCUGCAAGCACAGAUUAUAACCCAUCUGUUCGGGGCCGACUAACUCUGUCCAGAGACACAAAUAAAGGAGAAGUUCAUUUUAAACUCACUGGAGUUAAACCUGAAGAGUCUGGAAAAUAUUAUUGUGCAAGAUAUUCUCACAGUGUAACACAGUAA